rnacentral:tRNA from 2 species
GUCGGUGUAGCUCAGCGGUGGAGCAAGGUCUUCAUAAGGCCGAGGUCACUGGUUCGAAUCCAGUCACCGGCACAA